rnacentral:rRNA from 1 species
GAUGAACGCUGGCGGCGUGCCUAAUACAUGCAAGUCGAGCGAACAGACGAGGAGCUUGCUCCUCUGACGUUAGCGGCGGACGGGUGAGUAACACGUGGAUAACCUACCUAUAAGACUGGGAUAACUUCGGGAAACCGGAGCUAAUACCGGAUAAUAUAUUGAACCGCAUGGUUCAAUAGUGAAAGACGGUUUUGCUGUCACUUAUAGAUGGAUCCGCGCCGCAUUAGCUAGUUGGUAAGGUAACGGCUUACCAAGGCAACGAUGCGUAGCCGACCUGAGAGGACGACAAGCCACACGGGGACUGAGACAAGGCCCAGAAGACGACGGGAGGCAGCAGUGGGGAAUUGUGGGCAAUGGGCGCAAGCCUGAUAGAGCAAUGACGCGUGCAGGACGAAGGCCUUAGGGUUGGAAAAUGCUUUUGUACGGAAAGAAAAGACGCGGGCUAAUACCUGGGGCUCAGGACGGGACCGAAAGAAUAAGCAACGGCUAACUACGUG